GGCCUCAAAUCAGGUAGGACUACCCGCUGAACUUAAGCAUAUCAAUAAGCGGAGGAAAAGAAACUAACAAGGAUUCCCCUAGUAACUGCGAGUGAAGCGGGAAGAGCUCAAAUUUAAAAUCUGGCGGUCCCUCUGGCCGUCCGAGUUGUAAUCUGGAGAAGCGUUUUCCGUGCCGGACCGUGUACAAGUCUCUUGGAACAGAGCGUCAUAGAGGGUGAGAAUCCCGUCCAUGACACGGACCCCCGGUGCUUUGUGAUACGCUCUCGAAGAGUCGAGUUGUUUGGGAAUGCAGCUCAAAAUGGGUGGUAAAUUCCAUCUAAGGCUAAAUAUUGGCGAGAGACCGAUAGCGAACAAGUACCGUGAGGGAAAGAUGAAAAGCACUUUGGAAAGAGAGUUAAACAGUACGUGAAAUUGUUGAAAGGGAAACGCUUGAAGUCAGUCGCGUCGUCCNGGAACUCAGCCUUGCUC
rnacentral:rRNA from 1 species